CACACUUUUGGGAAAUUGCCCUAGAAACGACAAUCGGUGGCUUGAUUCACAAAGGACAAAGAAGGCAGCUGCGUCCUGUACCCACGAAACGGGGCAAGAACCCAGUUGGGCCCUGGCCUCUCGUUGAAACCGUGCCCUUUUCUGCCCCCUCUGCCACCCCCUUCCGUUGCCAUGGCAAUGCCCCUGGAGAGUUAGGACCAGGCCCUCUUUUUCUUUCCUGCAUCCCUCCCCACCCACCCCCUCCCCCUUUGUGUCCAGAAGAGCGCUGAGCCCACACGAUUUUCAAGUGAGCAGGAGACUGGAAGAGAUCAAUGGAUGUCAGAAUGGUGUUGUUAACAGAGAAAUGGCCUCUAUAGCUGCAAGGGAUCAAUCUGGACUCCCCAGGGGAGCCAUUUGGGAGGAGCCCUUUGGGCACAGCUGUGGAGAAUUUCACGUCACUGUUGCAAUCAUUUCUUGGCUUUCAAGCGUGUUCCCCUGACACUGACAUCUGAGCGUCAUCCAUGCUCAUUCAUUUGUGCUAUCGCCAAUGAGUACCUUCUCUUCUUUUCACUUUUCUUUCAGAACACAAUAAAUUAUAUUCAAACGGCAGCCAUGGAGGAAACUUUCCUUUCCUCCCUCAUCAACAAAGCUGAUCGAUGGGCGCGAAAGCCCCGGGGAAGCAGCAUCUGCUCUAACUCAAGGAUCCCCGCCCGAGCGGAGGAUGAAAUUAACAGACACAGAGCAGUUUGCAGCUCAACAUUUGUGCAAGUCUGGCACAUGCACACAUCAUUAGCAACUCUAUUUGAGAAGCAAGAGCAAGGAGGUGAGCCGGAGAGGGCAUCUCAUUAAAGGGAUAUUCAAGAAAGGGGAAAUUCAGAGCAUUUAGGUAAAGCUUUGUGGCUAAAAUAAAUGAACUGGAGAGUAGAGCAAACAGUCAGGUAUGUUUGGGAGGUGUCGACAGACAACGUGGAUAAUUUUGCCUCUGUACCUUCCAAAACAGAGUCACAAUAAGCUGUGCAUUUCCCAGGGGGACUGCCUCUUUUACUUAGCUCCGUGAGCUAAAACAAAGCCUUUGUGAGGGCAAGGAUUUUGCUGUCCUGUU
rnacentral:lncRNA from 9 species